rnacentral:rRNA from 1 species
GUCAGAGGGUGCAAUCGUUGUUCGGAAUUACUGGGCGUAAAGCGCGUGUAGGCGGCUCGGUAAGUCGGAUGUGAAAGCCCAGGGCUCAACCCUGGAAGUGCACUCGAAACUCCCGAGCUGGAGUCCCGGAGAGGAAGGCGGAAUUCUCGGUGUAGAGGUGAAAUUCGUAGAUAUCGAGAGGAACACCUGUGGCGAAGGCGGCCUUCUGGACGGUGACUGACGCUGAGACGCGAAAGCGUGGGGAGCAAACAGG